CGGGUGAGUAACACGUGGAUAACCUACCUAUAAGACUGGGAUAACUUCGGGAAACCGGAGCUAAUACCGGAUAAUAUUUUGAACCGCAUGGUUCAAAAGUGAAAGACGGUCUUGCUGUCACUUAUAGAUGGAUCCGCGCUGCAUUAGUUAGUUGGUAAGGUAACGGCUUACCAAGGCAACGAUGCAUAGCCGACCUGAGAGGGUGAUCGGCCACACUGGAACUGAGACACGGUCCAG
rnacentral:rRNA from 1 species